GGAAUCUUCCACAAUGGACGAAAGUCUGAUGGAGCAACGCCGCGUGAGUGAGGAAGGGUUUCGGCUCGUAAAACUCUGUUGUUAAAGAAGAACAUAUCUGAGAGUAACUGUUCAGGUAUUGACGGUAUUUAACCAGAAAGCCACGGCUAACUACGUGCUAG
rnacentral:rRNA from 1 species